GAGAGAGAGGUGCCUCUAGCAGGGAGAGAGAGAGAGAGGUGCCUCUAGCAGGGAGGGAGAGAGAGAGAGGUGCCUCAUUACAUCCCUGCAGCAUCGGCCUCAUUACAUCACAUCCAAGUACAUUUUAACGGUCAAUAAAUUCAGUUCUAUUGAGCUCAUUUUUGGACAACUGUCUGUCAUUUUUGCCUCAAUUAUAUUUCAUGGUGGAACAAAUGUUUUCGUGUGUUGGUGUGUAUAAAUAAUGUGCAUUUUAUUGUGUUUAUAAAUCUGGUACAGAGACUUUGGUCUCAGCAUUGACUCCCUGUCUAAAUAAAGACACCUUGGUCUCAGCGUUGACUCCCUAUCUAAAUAAAGACACCCUGGUCUCAG